rnacentral:misc_RNA from 1 species
UCGUAUCCUAGAAAAGCAUGACUGCGGACGAGUUGUUAAAUGGUGGGAUGCGUCGUGUUGCCUGUGGGUGGCUCGUCGCCCCCACCUGGCGGGUCGGGGGGACGUGCGCCCCCGGCCUUCCUGAUCGAACGAACCCCGGCGCGGACAGUGCCAAGGAAGCAAAAGAUCGGACGAGUCGUCCCCGGGGCCCUUCGUUGGGCGUUGCGGGGCGAAGGUCAAUCAAUACAGUAACGACUCUCGGCAACGGAUAUCUCGGCUCUCGCAUCGAUGAAGAACGUAGCGAAAUGCGAUACUUGGUGUGAAUUGCAGAAUCCCGUGAACCAUCGAGUCUUUGAACGCAAGUUGCGCCCGAGGCCAUUAGGCCGAGGGCACGUCUGCCUGGGCGUCACGUUUCGUGUUGCCCCUCCCGUCCGCGCGUGGGGAGCGAAGCUUGGCCUCCCGUGAGUUCCCACUCGCGGAUGGCUUAAAAGCGAGCCUUGAGGCGGCGAUGUCGCGCGACAAGUGGUGGUCAAUAGGCCUUCGGGCCUCGGAGCUUUGCGGGUUGUGCGCGUGCCGUUCCUUAUUGUGCCCGAAAGUAACUCGAAUGGAGCGUUGCGACGCUGCCAGCAUUGG